rnacentral:rRNA from 1 species
CAAAGGGCUCACGGAGGAUACCUAGGCACACAGAGGCGAUGAAGGACGUGGUUACCUGCGAUAAGUCUCGGGGAGUUGGAAGCACACUUUGAUCCGGGAAUUUCCGAAUGGGGCAACCCCUUGAACGACCAACUGAAUAUAUAGGUUGGUGCGAGCUAACCCAGCGAACUGAAACAUCUUAGUAGCUGGAGGAAGAGAAAGUAAAUAACGACUCCCUCAGUAGCGGCGAGCGAACGGGGAAUAGCCCAAACCGAUAGUCUUGACUAUCGGGGUUGUGGGACAGCAAUAUGGAUCAACAACUCUAGAAGAAACGUUUGAAUGGCGUGCCAUAGAGGGUGAAAGCCCCGUAAUUGAAAGAUGAGUUGACCUAGCUGUAUCCCGAGUAGCACGGAGCACGUGGAAUUCCGUGUGAAUCUGCGAGGACCACCUCGUAAGGCUAAGUACUACUGUGUGACCGAUAGUGAAACAGUACCGCGAGGGAAAGGUGAAAAGAACCCCGGGAGGGGAGUGAAAUAGAACAUGAAACCGUGAGCUUACAAGCAAUGGGAGCCCGACUAAUCGGGUGACCGUGUGCCUGUUGAAGAAUGAGCCGGCGACUUAUAGGCACUGGCGGGUUAAACCGGAAAUGGUGGAGCCACAGCGAAAGCGAGUCUUAAUAGGGCGUUUGUCAGUGUUUAUAGACCCGAACCCUGGUGAUCUAACCAUGGCCAGGAUGAAGCUUGGGUGAUACCAAGUGGAGGUCCGAACCGACUGAAGUUGAAAAUUCAGCGGAUGAGCUGUGGUUAGGGGUGAAAUGCCAAUCGAACCAGGAGCUAGCUGGUUCUCCCCGAAAUACGUUGAGGCGUAGCGUCUAGUGCUCCAGCAGGGGGGUAAAGCAACCAUUUCGGUGCGGGCUGCGAAAGCGGUACCAAAUCGAUAUGAACUCUGAAUACCCUGUGUGUAACUAGGCAGUCAGACUGUGGGGGAUAAGCUCCAUAGUCAAGAGGGAAACAGCCCAGACCGCCAGCUAAGGUCCCAAAAUUAACGCUAAGUGAUAAAGGAGGUGGGAUUGCCCAGACAACCAGGAGGUUUGCCUAGAAGCAGCCAUCCUCAAAGGAGUGCGUAAUAGCUCACUGGUCGAGCGAUCCUGCGCCGAAAAUGAAUGGGGCUAAGCGUUAUACCGAAGCUGCGGAUAAAUUUAUUUAUGGUAGGGGAGCGUUCUAUGUUGGGUGAAGCGUUAGCGUAAGCGGACGUGGACGGCAUAGAAGUGAGAAUGUCGGCUUGAGUAGCGAAAACAUGGGUGAGAAUCCCAUGCCCCGAAACCCUAAGGGUUCCUCCGGCAGGCUCGUCCGCGGAGGGUUAGUCUGGACCUAAGGCGAGGCCGAAAGGCGUAGUCGAUGGAUAACAGGUCAAUAUUCCUGUACCAGUUAUGUUUUGGGAAGGGGGACGGAGAAGGCUAGCCAGGCCAGAUGUUGGUUACUGGUUCAAGCGUUCAAGGCUUUGAGAGAUGGAGAAAACAUCUUGAGCUGAGGCGUGAGUACGAGCUGCUACGGCAGCGAAGUUGGUGAUGUCAUGCUUCCAAGAAAAGCCCUAUACCCGUUAAGACAUAAAUGCCAGUACCCGAAACCGACACAGGUGGGGUGGUAGAGAAUACCGAGGGGCGCGAGAUAACUCUCUCUAAGGAACUCGGCAAAAUGGCCCCGUAACUUCGGGAGAAGGGGUGCCAGCGAGAGCUGGUCGCAGUGAAGAGGCGCAAGCGACUGUUUACCAAAAACACAGGUCUCCGCUAAGUCGCAAGACGAUGUAUGGGGGCUGACACCUGCCCAGUGCCGGAAGGUUAAGGAAGCUGGUUAGCUUUUAGCAAAGCUAGCGACUGAAGCCCCGGUGAACGGCGGCCGUAACUAUAACGGUCCUAAGGUAGCGAAAUUCCUUGUCGGGUAAGUUCCGACCCGCACGAAAGGUGUAACGAUUUGCGCGCUGUCUCGGAGAGAGGCUCGGCGAAAUAGAAUUGUCUGUGAAGAUGCGGACUACAUACACCCGGACAGAAAGACCCUAUGAAGCUUUACUGUAGUUUGAUAUUGUGCUCGGGCUCUAAUUGCGCAGAAUAGGUGGGAGACAUUGAAAUAGUGCUUGUGGGCAUUAUUGAGUCAUCGGUGAGAUACCACUCUAUUAGAGCUAGGGUUCUAACGCUUACCCGUUAUCCGGGAAGCGGACAGUAUCUGAUGGGCAGUUUGACUGGGGCGGUCGCCUCCUAAAAGGUAACGGAGGCGCACAAAGGUUCCCUCAGGCUGGUUGGAAAUCAGUCGUUGAGUGCAAAAGCAGAAGGGAGCUUGACUGUGAGACCUACAAGUCGAACAGGGACGAAAGUCGGUUUUAGUGAUCCGACGGUUCUGCGUGGAAGGGCCGUCGCUCAACGGAUAAAAGUUACUCUAGGGAUAACAGGCUGAUCUCCCCCAAGAGUUCACAUCGACGGGGAGGUUUGGCACCUCGAUGUCGGCUCAUCGCAACCUGGGGCUGAAGUCGGUCCCAAGGGUUGGGCUGUUCGCCCAUUAAAGCGGUACGCGAGCUGGGUUCAGAACGUCGUGAGACAGUUCGGUCCAUAUCCGGUGUAUGCGCAGGAAUAUUGAGAGGAUUUCUCCCUAGUACGAGAGGACCGGGAGGAACGCACCUCUGGUGUGCCAGUUAUCGUGCCAACGGUAAACGCUGGGUAGCCAUGUGCGGAGUGGAUAACCGCUGAAAGCAUCUAAGUGGGAAGCCCACCUCAAGAUGAGUAUUGCCAUGGCUUAAGCCAGUAAGGUCACGGGAAGAACACCCGUUGAUAGGCUCUACGUGGAAGCUUGGUAACAAGUGCAGCGGAGGAGUACUAAUAGACCGAGGGCUUGACCA